AACUCCCCGAUAUACCCCCUGCAGCCUUGCUGUAGAAUUGUACCCCGUGCUCGUCUCUGUUCUGUUGGCCAGCCGUCCGCCCGUCACCGGCCCCGCCGGCAUGGCGCUCCCGGAACUGCUCUCGCGCCUGCGCCUCGCACCUCUCCACCAUCACCUGCGCCGCUCUCUCUCCGCCGUCGCCCCUCCGCCCCACGAGCCGCCCCCUCCCCAUCCCGCCCCACCGCCACAGCCGGCCUCCAAUAAGCACAAGCUAUUCGUCGCCGGGCUCUCGUGGUCCGCGGACGAGCGGUCGCUGACGGACGCCUUCUCCUCCUUCGGCACCGUCACCGAAGAUGGUACGCGUGGUAGGUGCUCGACGAAACGGCUCCCAGGCCCUCCUGGACGACCCGGUUCCGCCCAGCCUCGCGAACUGUUCGACAGAAUGCCUGUUAGGGACGUCGUCGCCUGCUCGGCGGCAAUCUACCGGAGUGCGAGGGCCGGGUCGUUCGACGAGGCCGUUGGGCUGUUUGUCGGCAUGGUGAGGGCAGAAGUGUGCCCAAACUCGUUCACCUUGGUCGGUGCAUCGCUCGCCGCGGCCGGGCUGGGUGACGCGGUGCUCACCGAGUGCAUCCAUGGGUGGGUUGUCAAGCUUCGGUUGGACUCCAAUCCUUUUGUCCGAACCGCGUUGCUUGAUUCAUAUGCGAAGUGCGGCUGCCCCAUCAAGGCACGUGCUUUGUUUGGUGAAAUGAGGGAUCCAGGUAUAGUUACCUGGAAUGCGAUGAUCUCCGGGUUAGUGCAUAAUGAUUUGUUCGAGGAGGCAGUUCUGGUGUUUAAAAGGUUGCUUCAUUCGUUGGGGCCAAUUGAUAAUGUUGUGACUAUGAUAAGCACUGCUCAAGCUUGUGCUGGUUGUGGUGAUGUUGGACUGUGUGGGACUGCACAUGCUUACACGGUCAAGAUGGGGCUUGAUUUGGAUGUAUCAGUGACAAACUCGAUACUGGGCAUGUACUUGGGUUAUGCUAGUCUUGAGAUUGGAAGAGAGAUUUUCAGGAAGAUUCCUGUCAACAAUGUUGUUAGUUGGACGAUGAUGAUGGGUUUCCUUCUUGAGAAAGGGCAUGCUGGUGAAGUUAUACAUAUGUUUGUCAAGAUGAGGUCAAAUGGUAUAGUUCCUGACAUGGUAGCAAUGGUUGGUUUGGUGCAAGCUUGUGCACUUAUGGGUGAUGGAAGCAGAGGAAAGUUGGUUCAUAACCAGAUUGUAAUCCGUGGGUUUAGUAGAGAGCUUCCUGUAGUGAAUUCCUUAAUCACAAUGUAUUCCAAAUGUAAGGAUUUAAGCUCUGCAAGGAAGUUGUUUGAUGGAAGAAGGGAUAAGAGCUUGGUCUCAUGGACUGCAAUGGUGGCGGCGUGUGUAGAAAAUGGAGAUGUGCUAGAAGGAUUGGAUCUCUUUGCUAAGAUGAGGCAUGGAGGCUUGUUUGCGAUUGAUUAUGUAACGUUAGUCACCUUAUUGCUUGCCUGUUAUGUGAUUGCUAAGUUUGACCUGUGUGUUCAGCUUCAUGGGUAUAGCUACAAGUCAGGUUUGUCUUUGUACAGACCUGUUCUUAACACCCUUAUGGCAGUUUAUGGUAAGUGUGGAUAUGUGGCUCUAGCCCAAAAAUUGUUUGAUGAGAUGAUUUGUCGAGAUACUGUCUCGUGGAAUACUAUGAUAUUAUCCUUUGGUAUAAAUGGCCAAGGAGAGGAAGCAAUAACACUUUUUAAUGAGAUGGAGAAAUCUAGCGAGGGCCGAGACAGUGUAACAUACUUGAACACAUUGCUAGCAUGCAGCCAUUCUGGCCUGGUGGAUGAUGGGUUGAUCAUCUUUAGAAGAAUGAUAAACGAUAAGGGCAUAAAUCCAUGUCAGGAGCACAUUGGAUGCAUAGUGGAUAUGUUAGCAAGAGCUGGCCGCUUGGACGAAGCAGCAGGAGUGGCUAGCUUGACUGACAAUAAAUUGGGACUAAAUGCUUGGAAAGCCCUUAUGGGAGGGGGUCAUUUGCACAGUGACAUGAAGUUCACUAAUGUUGCUGCGGAGAAGGUGCUUACAGUGGAAUCAUUUGAUUAUGGACACGUGUUGUUACUUUCUAACACUUAUGCAUCACUUGGGAAAUUCAGUGCUGCUGAAUCUGUCAGAUCCUGUUAUACAAAACAGAUCGCAAAGAAAACUCUGGGGCUUAGUUCAAUUUAGGCCAUGCCAUCCAUGAUCCAUCACAAGGUAGCUGAAGAGUACUUCCCUGGGAAGGGUAAGGAUAUAUCACACAAGGACCACCAGUCUCAAGCUAUUGGAAUCUAUUUUAGGCAUUAACGUUUGAAUUUUACUUUGUCAAAUGGUUAGUCUACUGUGAAGUGUGAACAAUGGAUGAGCAUCAGCAUUAGGUUUCAAAAGGCUCAGGUGCAAUAGUGGAUUGCCUCGGACCCUUGGCCAUUGGGUCUUAAGUCUUGUGACUAACAGUCGGCUCAGCCUUUUGACACAUGAAUGUGGAGUUCGUCAGACGGUAUUCUGACCACUUAGAAGAGUUGUUAAGCACACCUCAAAUUUUCAUUACUUUCUUUUGUUUAUGGCCAUUUUCCUUUACAUAUGGGUUGGAAUAUAUCUGGUUAGAACUUGGAGUCCCAAUCUUACUAACCUCUGGUUGGCUUGAUUGGCAUCUGUAUCAAUCACUCUGGAGCUGGUCCUGAAAACACGUGUGCUGAUUGCAACAACUCCAAAGAAAAGGAGAGUGAAUAGCAGCAACAUCAACAAGACAACAAUGUACAUUCACAGUAAUAUAUAUGUUGGUAGAGGAAGCUGCAACUACCAGCUGUGUGCUGUGCGUAGUAUCUAAUUACUUUUGAUGAGAAUAAUGUAUGACAAAAACUCUGGAAGGUCAAGAGGCUUUGGUUUUGUCCAGUUCUCAAAUCAUUAUGAGGCUAAGUAUGCCAUGGACGCUAUGGAUGGAAAG